UACGUAGGGGGCGAGCGUUGUCCGAAGUUACUGGGCGUAAAGCGCGCGUAGGCGGUUUCUUAAGUCUGGUGUGAAAGGUUCAGGGCUCAACCCGAACAGUGCACUGGAUACUGGGAAACUUGAGUAUGGGAGAGGAGAGCGGAAUUCCUGGUGUAGCGGUGAAAUGCGUAGAUAUCAGGAGGAACACCGAUGGCGAAGGCAGCUCUCUGGCCUGUAACUGACGCUGAGGUGCGAAAGCGUGGGGAGCAAACAGG
rnacentral:rRNA from 1 species